rnacentral:rRNA from 1 species
UUCUGGUUGAUCCUGCCGGAGGCUACCGCUAUUGGAGUUCGAUUAAGCCAUGCGAGUCGAGAGUCUUAGGGACUCGGCGUACCGCUCAGUAACACGUGGGUAACCUGCCCUAUGCUGGGGAAUAACCUCGGGAAACUGAGAAUAAUACCCCAUAGUUCACCACGCCUGGAACGGUGGGUGGAUGAAAGCUCCGGCGGCAUAGGAUGGGCCUGCGACGUAUCAGGUUGUAGGGGGUGUAACGUACCCUCUAGCCAUCAACGCGUACGGGUGUUGGGAGACAUAGCCCGGAGAUGGAUUCUGAGACACGAAUCCAGACCCUACGGGGUGCAGCAGGCGCGAAAACUUGGCAAUGCGAGCAAUCGUGACCAGGGAACUCCAAGUGGCUGGGGUAAUACCCAGUUUUUUCUUGACUCUUCAAAGGUCUUGGAAUAAGGGGUGGGUAAGGACGGUGCCAGCCGCCGCGGUAAUACCGGCGCCUCAAGUGGUAGUCGCUUUUAUUGGGCCUAAAACGUCCGUAGCCGGUCUGGUGCAUUCGUGGGUAAAUCAACCCGCUCAACGGGUUGAAUUCUGCGAGCACGGCCAGACUUGGGACCGGGAGAGGUGUGGGGUACUCUCAGGGUAGGGGUAAAAUCCUGUCAUCCUGAGAGGACCA